AUUAAACGCUGGCGGCAUGCCUUACACAUGCAAGUCGAACGGCAGCACGGGGGCAACCCUGGUGGCGAGUGGCGAACGGGUGAGUAAAGCAUCGGAACGUGCCCUGGAGUGGGGGAUAACGUAGCGAAAGUUACGCUAAUACCGCAUAUUCUGUGAGCAGGAAAGCAGGGGAUCGCAAGACCUUGCGCUCUGGGAGCGGCCGAUGUCGGAUUAGCUAGUUGGUGGGGUAAAGGCCCACCAAGGCGACGAUCCGUAGCGGGUCUGAGAGGAUGAUCCGCCACACUGGAACUGAGACACGGUCCAGACUCCUACGGGAGGCAGCAGUGGGGAAUUUUGGACAAUGGGCGAAAGCCUGAUCCAGCCAUGCCGCGUGUCUGAAGAAGGCCU
rnacentral:rRNA from 1 species